UUCUCAUCGUCAUAGAUUUCAUUCUGGAGACUCGCCGAUAAACUGUUCUUAUCAGUUUAAUAUCUGAUACGUCCCUUAUCUGGGCACCAUAUAUUGAUAUUUGAAAGUGGGGUGGAAUAGGGGCUUGCUCUGUCCACUUUAAGGGUGGCACGGUGACGCAGCGGUAGAGUUGCUGCUAUACGCU